CGCGUAGGCGGUCUAUUAAGUCUGAUGUGAAAGGUACCGGCUCAACCGGUGAAGUGCAUUGGAAACUGGUAGACUUGAGUAUUGGAGAGGCAAGUGGAAUUCCUAGUGUAGCGGUGAAAUGCGUAGAUAUUGGGAGGAACACCAGUGGCGAAGGCGGCUUGCUGGACAAAUACUGACGCUGAGGUGCGAAAGCGUGGGGAGCGAACA
rnacentral:rRNA from 1 species